CAUUAACUAUAUGAGGGGAGGGCUGGGCUUCGGCCUGCCCCUCUCUGACUAUUCUACCCGUGUCUUUUGCGUACUAUUUGUUUCCUCGGUGGGCUUGCCCGCCGAUAGGACACUAUAAAAACCUUUUGUAAUUGCAGUCAGCGUCAGUAAAAACUUAAUAGUUACAACUUUCAACAACGGAUCUCUUGGUUCUGGCAUCGAUGAAGAACGCAGCGAAAUGCGAUAAGUAGUGUGAAUUGCAGAAUUCAGUGAAUCAUCGAAUCUUUGAACGCACAUUGCGCCCCUUGGUAUUCCAUGGGGCAUGCCUGUUCGAGCGUCAUUUGUACCCUCAAGCUUUGCUUGGUGUUGGGCGUCUUGUCCCGCGUUUGCGUGUGGACUCGCCUUAAAGCGAUUGGCAGCCGGCAUAUUGGCCUUGGAGCGCAGCACAAUUUGCGUUUCUAGUCAUGAAUGUUGGCGUCCAUUAAGCCUAUAACAUUUGCUCUUGACCUCGGAUCAGGUAGG
rnacentral:rRNA from 1 species